AUUGAACGCUGGCGGCAGGCCUAACACAUGCAAGUCGAACGAGUGGCGGACGGGUGAGUAAUGUCUGGGAAACUGCCUGAUGGAGGGGGAUAACUACUGGAAACGGUAGCUAAUACCGCAUACCAUCAGAUGUGCCCAGAUGGGAUUAGCUAGUUGGUGGGGUAACGGCUCACCAAGGCGACGAUCCCUAGCUGGUCUGAGAGGAUGACCAGCAACACUGGAACUGAGACACGGUCCAGACUCCUACGGGAGGGAGCAGUGGGGAAUAUUGCACCAUUGGCGCAAGCCUGAUGCAGCCAUGCCGCGUGUAUUAAGAAAGCCGUCGGGUCGGAAAGUUCUUUCAUCUGUGAGACGUUACCCCCAGAAGAAGCACCGGCUAACUCCGGGCCAGCAGCCGCGGUAAUAC
rnacentral:rRNA from 1 species